AGCUUAAUAGGUUACAUAGGUUUGACUAUCAAUUUUCAAAAUUGGGGGGGGUGUUGAUAGCCUUAGGCUG
rnacentral:tRNA from 1 species